GUUUCUAGGCUGCGAUUGGUCAUCUAGUUGCAGGAAUAUUGGAUGAAAAGACAAUAGAGUCCGCUCUGAUUAUGAAAUCAAAUUCAUAGCCAAGCAUUUCAAUUGCAGGGAACUUGAGAUUUACCAUGUUGCUGUUUAUAAGGAAGAUGUCGCCUGAUACGGAGUUAGGGUCACUUGAAACAGACAUAGCAGAGACUGCCAGGCAACUUUGGGUUUAGUAUUAGUAAGGAAAACUCUGGAAGCCACAAGUUUAUCAGCAUCAGCUUCAAGUCGUCUAUCUUCCAAGCAAGUAACAGAGUAUUUCUGAGAGAUACCUUGCUGAUUGCUCAGUGAACUUACACUGACAAACUUUUAUCUCCAGUUUCUGAAGAGAGUUGUCUGUUUACAUGAAACAAACAAAAACAUGUCACACCUAUUGAGUCACUCGCUGAGAUGAUCCAUUGUCUAGAACAACAGCUUAAAAUUUCUUGACUGUGGUUACCGUAUUCUGGUUUGAGCUUGUAUAUACGCUGAUUUCCCCCUCUGCAGUACCUUCUGGAUUUCAGAGUGAAAAAUUAUUGUCCUUGUUCUGUGAAUUAACAAAAGAAACAAAUAGUAAGGCAAGCAAGUUAUAUAAACCUCAAAGUAUUACAGAUAUCCUGUUGAACAGCAACUAAACAACACAGUUUACCCAUACGCUAGUCUAAGGAAAUCACAGUGUAUUUUCCCUGUUUUUUGGCAAGUUAGACAGCCCAUAUAAAAAUAAAUGACAUAGUAAUUAAGCCCCACUAUCUGAUAUUAAACAGGUUUGGUUUGCCUCCUAUUUGCAUGUUCUAGCUGUGAUAAUUUACUUAAU
rnacentral:lncRNA from 1 species